UACGUAGGUGACAAGCGUUGUCCGGAUUUACUGGGCGUAAAGAGCGCGCAGGCGGUCGAUCAAGUCGAGUGUGAAAGCCCCCGGCUCAACUGGGGAGGGUCAUUCGAUACUGAUCGACUCGAAGGCAGGAGAGGGUAGUGGAAUUCCCGGUGUAGUGGUGAAAUGCGUAGAUAUUGGGAGGAACACCGGUGGCGAAGGCGGCCCCCUGGACCGGUACUGACGCUGAGGCGCGAAAGCGUGGGUAGCAAACGGU
rnacentral:rRNA from 1 species